GUGGCACUAUGCAGACCUCUUCUACUGUAUCGCCUGACUCCUGCCCUAUCUGUCGCAGGCUUGCAAGGCAGUAAUUCUCCUCAUGGGCCAAAAGAGGGCAGACCUUAAACAGCCACAGCAAAUACCCCAGGUUCUUGGAAACCCCAUGGUAGCCAGUCCCAUUCACUCCGAAAUCCCAAGGAGUGAAAGGAACACGUAACAAUUUUGUUUUCUAGUUUCCAGAUGCAGCCAAAUCACUGCUCUGUCAGUUGUCAGAGGGCAUCCUGCUGGAGAACUGCUGUCCCUGUAUCCGUCGUGGCACCAGGCUUGUGUGCUUGCUGCUGCCCUGGCUGCUCCUCCACGCUUCUUGCAGCCCACCAGAGCUGCUGCUCUGCUGCAGGUAAUUUGAACAGUCAGCAAACCAGUGGCUCCAGUGACCUCAGACAAAAUGAGAACUGUAAAAUGAGUCACCUGGCAGCGAGUGUAACACUCAGCUUGUGGCGAGAUAUCAUUAUUAAGGGGCUGCUGAUGGUACCGUGCUUUCUGUGGAAGGGAAGCACCGCGUGGCCUUUCCUGUGGAGCCCAGGCCUUCUGGUUUUGCUCUUUGCACGAGCUGGCGGUGGGAACCUUGCAUCAGAGCCCAAAAAGGGUGGCUGGUGGCUUCCAGCCCUCGGUGGCCAGCUGGGAAGCAGCACGAGCCCUCUGCGUGUCGCUGGGUUUCCUCCAGGCUGUGACAUGUGUGAGGAGCAGCAUGUGAUGGAAGGAAAGGGGAUCUCCUUUGUGGUAGGUGUACAAAGAAGGAGGCUUACGUUUUCAGAAAUUUAACUGCGGGCCUUCUAGGGGCAUUUUGUGGGGAAAACAAACCACAGAGACUGGUGCCUUUAGCCUGCUUGCAGCUAGCUUGGAUGUAAGCUUUUUCACCUAGCAGGUUUAGCAGUACAAGAAGCUUUGCAGCAUGUGUUUGUAAAACUAGAAGGGUCUGUUGUGUACCUAAUCAAUCCAAUUGCUUCCAGCUCGUGGUAGGAGCACAGGUAAAUAGA